CAAAAACAAAAGAAAGGAAGAAAUAUAACUCAGUGGUUCUCAUCUGGGGGUGAUUCUACCCACUCCCCUUUCCCCAAGGGACAUUGGGCAAUGUCUGGAGAGUAGUUGUUUUUAAAUCACACCUGGGGCAAGGGGUGCUAUUGGCAUCUGGUGGGUUGAGGCCAGAGGUGCUGCUCAGCCCCUUAAAAUGCUCAGGACAGCCCGACCACAGAGAAUGACCCAGCUCCAAAUGUCUCCAGAGCCCCAGUGUAACUUGAAGGACUGGCUGAGUGGGGAGGACGAGGAGCCCAUUUAUCCAGUGGAAAAGAUUUCAUUGUUUCUUCUCUGAGCUGCUUAGUGUUUGUGACGUGGCCUUUAGGCAAAACACGAAAAUGGAGAAGUUACGUUGGGGCUCUGGGCUUUGGCUUUGGUCUUUCCAUAUGAAGCAUCCUUUUGGAUCACCUCUUAUCCGAACAGGAGAGAGGCAUCAGCCUCUGGCCUUUGGAUACAAAUGAUUGUACAUCCCACACUACCUCCCUUUGGACAAUCACCAUUCAACCUUUUCUCUAAUGGUGACAUGGUGGCCUGUGCUGGCUUUAGGAGGUUCUGGGUACCUGGGUGUGGCAGGGUGGCACUGUUGGUAAGGGGCUCCCUGGUCACUGCUCCCACCCGCCUCGCCUCCCACUAACUUGGCUCUCACCUCCAAGUUUGGCAUCUUGCUGGCGGGAAGCUGUCCUGGGAGGGCUGAGUCCCACCUAGGCUGCCUUCUAGCUGUGCAUGGGCUGCUGUCUGGAUGUGGCACAGAGGUCUCUCUCCUUGCCCAACUUGGGUUUUCCAGGUGAAAUCAGGGGACCUGGCUACUAUAGCGGUGAGAAAAGGGAGUUGGAGCAGGAGUGAUCAAUAAGGGGUGUGUGCUCUGAGCCUUAAGGGAGCACAUGGGUCAGGGACUCUCUGGGUAUGGGCAUUUGUGGGGAAGGCAGAGAAACCCUGACUCUCUCCAUGAGACAACAGCAGCUCCUGGUGGCUGGGCAAGGUGGGCAGUGCCAUCCAUGGAGCACCAGCAUUCAAGGGAUGGCACCACGCCCAGUCUUGGGAUGCACCAAGCUAUUUUAAGGGUGAGUGAUUACUUCUUGGAAGCGGAUAUCUGAGCUGUGAACCUGGCAAUGGCAUCCCUUCUCCACGGUGUCAUCUCGUGAUGGGUCCAUGGAGGACCCUUCUCUCCCCAAGACCUCGAUGUAAAUUUUAGCCAGGAUCCCCCUGAGCACGAAGGAUGAGGGUCCCUGUGAGCAUACACAGAAGACCGAGACUAUAGGUCUGGGAUGCCCAAUGGGGAACGCAGCUUGGAAAGUACAUGCUGACACAGCAGUUGAGAACUAAAACCCCUUUUGAGCAUGUGAUCAAAUCCCUCUAAUAAGAAGAGAAACUGAGAGUCUCAGGCCAUGUGCUGGGAGGGCCGCCAUGGUCGGGCUACGGGUGUGGAGGUGGGGAGAGGCACCAGGAAAACUAUGAAAAUUCUGCAGUGUUUUGCUUUUACUCGCCUAGAAUUAGAGGAAUCCUCUGGCAAAAUGAAACUGAAAUCUUGCUUCUCCACUGAUCGUUUCCUGGUGACUCGCCCUUGACCAUGGGCUCUGAUGCUUUUUCGAGGUCAGCUCUGACAAUGUCUAAUUUAUGUACAGUAAAAUGCAACAACUUUAGGUGUACAAGUUGAUGAGUUUUCACAAAUGUGUACAGUCAUGUGACUCCCUCAGUCACGACAUCAAAUGUUUCCAUCAUCCCAAAAGCUUCCUCGCCUCUGAUUGUCGUUUCCUCCCUCUCCCGGCAGCAACCUGACAACCACCCACUUCCUUUCUAUAUCACUGUGGUUUGGCUUUUUUAUUUUAUUUUAUUUUAUUUUAUUUUUUAAAUAAUUGUGUAUACACAGAAUCUUAUAUGUCUGGCUUUUAAAACUUCAUGUAAUGCAUUUACAACUUAUCCACCUUGUUGUUCAAGUCAGUCCUUUGUUCCUUAUAUAGCUGAGCACUAUUUCCCGGUGUGAAGAUACCACAAUUUGCUUAUGCGUUCACCAGUUAAUGGACAUUUGGGUUGUUUCCAGUUAUCAGAAACCGAAUAAAGCUGUUAUAAAUAUUCAUUUAUAGGAACUGCCAAACUGUUUCCUACGUGGUUGCACUAUUUUGUAUUCCCACCAGUGAUGUAUUAGAGUUCCAGUUGUUCCACAGCCUUGUAAGCAUUUGAUAUUGAUUUCAGAAAGUCUGAGUACCAGUUCAGGCUGGUACACACACCAGGAGAGGAGAAUGCAGUCUGUGGGCACUUCCUCUGUGACCCAGUCCAGCGAAUACCUCUCCUGGGGAUGACAGUGCUGGA